GCAACGAAUCCCACAGAUUCACCAUCCUCUGGCUGAAGAAAUUCCUCCUCGUCUCCUUCCUAAAGCAACGUCUUUUAAAUCUGAGGCCACGUGUGUCCUCUGGUCCUAGACGCUAAACUUUCCCACUAGUGGGAACAUCUUCUACACAUCCACCACAUCCGGACCGGCCCACUAUUUGGUGACGUUUCAAUGAGGUACCCUAUUCCCUUGUUCUCCAAAACGCCAGCGAGUUCAGGCCCAGCGCCCACAAACGCCCUCUAUCUCUCCUCUCAUAGAAACAUAGAAAAUAGGUGCACGAAUAGAGGCCAUUCGGCCCUUCAAGCCUGCACCGCCAUUCAAUACGAUCCUGUAUCUGCCGUCUCUCCAUGCCCCCUGAUCCCUUUAGCCACAAGGGCCACGUCUAACUCCAUCUUAAAUAUAGCAAAUUAACUGGCCUCAACUACGUUCUGUGGCAGAGAAUUCCACAGAUUCACCACUCUGUGUGGGGAAAAAAUGUUUUUCUCAUCUCGAUUUCCCCCUUAUCCUUAAACUGUGUGUGACCCCUUGUUCUGGACUUCCCCAACAUAUAACCAUAUAACAAUUACAGCACGGAACCAGGCCAUCUCGGCCCUAAAAGUCCGUGCCGAACAACUUUUUUUCCCUUAGUCCCGGGAACAUCGGGAACAAUCUUCCUGCAUCUAGCCUGUCACACUGCUUAACAAUUUUGUAAGUUUCUAUAUGAUCCCACCCUCAAUCUUCUAAAUUCUAGCGAGUAUAAGCCGAGUCUAUCCAGUCUUUCUUCGUAUGAAUUCCUGACAUACCAGAAAUCAGUCUGGUGAACCUUCACUGUACAAGAAUGUCUUUCCUCACAUUCGGAGACCAAAGGCGUGGUCUCACCAAGACCAUGUACAACUGCAGUAGAACCUCCCUGCUCAUAUACUCAAACCAUUUUGCUAUGAAUGCUAACAUACCAUUCGCUUUGUCACUGCCUGCUGCGCCUGCAUGCCUACUUUCAAUGACAGGUGUACAAUGACACACAGGUCUCAUUGCAUCUCCCCUUUUCCUCUCUCCCCAUCUCAGGUACCACGGGACAGAAGAUCAGUCAAACAUGGCUAUAGUGGAGGUCGCAUUGCUUUCAGGAUAUGAAUUAACCAAGGAAUCCCAAGAGCAGCUUACAAGAUUGCAAGACAAUCUUGAAUUUCCGAUGGGUUUCGUGAGGAUAUAUUUCAACGAGAUCGGGAGGAAAGGUUCGGGUGUUAUACUGAUAGUGGAGCGAAAGGAUCCCGUUUCAAACUUGGAAUCGAAAAUUAUAAAAGUCUAUGAUUACUACAAGCCAGGUGAG